rnacentral:rRNA from 1 species
GACGAACGCUGGCGGCGUGCCUAAUACAUGCAAGUAGGACGCAGUCGCGAACGGGAGAGUAACGCGUAGGUCACUGCAUGUUAGAGGGGGAUAACUAUUGGAAACGAUAGCUAAUACCGCCUACUAGUGGAUGUACCUGCGGUGUAUUAGCUAGUAGGUAGGGUAAUGGGCUACCUAGGCGACGAUACAUAGCCGGCCUUAGAGGGUGAACGGCCAAACGGGGACUGAGACACGGGCCAGAAUCCUACGGGAUGGAGCAGUAGGGAAACUUUGGCAAUUGGGGGAACGCUGGCCGCGCACCGCCGCGUGAGUGAAGAAGGUUCUCGGAUCGUAAAGCUCUGUUGUUAAGGAAGCGGUACUUAAACAGAAAGGGACGGCUAACUACGUGCCAGCAGCCGCGGUAAUUC